GACGAACGCUGGCGGCGUGCCUAUUACAUGCAAGUUGAGCGCUGAAGGUUGGUACUUGUACCAACUGGAUGAGCAGCGAACGGGUGAGUAACGCGUGGGGAAUCUGCCUUUGAGCGGGGGACAACAUUUGGAAACGAAUGCUAAUACCGCAUAAAAACUUUAAACACAAGUUUUAAGUUUGAAAGAUGCAAUUGCAUCACUCAAAGAUGAUCCCGCGUUGUAUUAGCUAGUUGGUGAGGUAAAGGCUCACCAAGGCGAUGAUACAUAGCCGACCUGAGAGGGUGAUCGGCCACAUUGGGACUGAGACACGGCCCAAACUCCUACGGGAGGCAGCAGUAGGGAAUCUUCGGCAAUGGACGAAAGUCUGACCGAGCAACGCCGCGGGAGUGAAGAAGGUUUUCGGAUCGUAAAACUCUGUUGGUAGAGAAGAACGUUGGUGAGAGUGGAAAGCUCAUCAAGUGACGGUAACUACCCAGAAAGGGACGGCUAACUACGUG
rnacentral:rRNA from 1 species